CCCUUAGAUGUUCUGGGCCGCACGCGCGCUACACUGACGGAGGCAGCGAGCGUGUCCUUCGCCGGCAGGUGCGGGCAAUCUUGCGAGUCUCCGUCGUGCUGGGGAUAGAUGGUUGCAAUUGUCGAUCUUGAACGAGGAAUUCCUAGUAAGCGCGAGUCAUCAGCUCGCGCCGAUUACGUCCCUGCCCUUUGUACACACCGCCCGUCGCUACUACAGAGUGCCCGUGUCCAAGAAACGGUCGGACCUGUGCGGCCUCUCCGGGCGACCGGAGGGCCGUUACGGGGAAGACCCUUUAUUUGACGCGGGUCGAUGAAGUAAAAGUCGUAACA
rnacentral:rRNA from 1 species